rnacentral:rRNA from 1 species
GUGAACGCUGGCGGUAGGCCUCACACCUGCAAGUCGAACGGCAGCACAGUAAGAGCUUGCUCUUACGGGUGGCGAGUGGCGGACGGGUGAGGAAUACAUCGGAAUCUACUUUUUCGUGGGGGAUAACGUAGGGAAACUUACGCUAAUACCGCAUACGACCUACGGGUGAAAGCAGGGGAUCUUCGGACCUUGCGCGAUUGAAUGAGCCGAUGUCGGAUUAGCUAGUUGGCGGGGUAAAGGCCCACCAAGGCGACGAUCCGUAGCUGGUCUGAGAGGAUGAUCAGCCACACUGGAACUGAGACACGGUCCAGACUCCUACGGGAGGCAGCAGUGGGGAAUAUUGGACAAUGGGCGCAAGCCUGAUCCAGCCAUACCGCGUGGGUGAAGAAGGCCUUCGGGUUGUAAAGCCCUUUUGUUGGGAAAGAAAAGCAGCAGGUUAAUACCCCGCUGUUCUGACGGUACCCAAAGAAUAAGCACCGGCUAACUUCGU